rnacentral:rRNA from 1 species
GGACCCGCACAAGCGGCGGAGCAUGCGGAUUAAUUCGAUGCAACGCGAAGAACCUUACCAAGGCUUGACAUACACGAGAACACCGUAGAAAUACGGGACUCUUUGGACACUCGUGAACAGGUGGUGCAUGGUUGUCGUCAGCUCGUGUCGUGAGAUGUUGGGUUAAGUCCCGCAACGAGCGCAACCCUCGUUCUAUGUUGCCAGCACGUAAUGGUGGGAACUCAUGGGAUACUGCCGGGGUCAACUCGGAGGAAGGUGGGGAUGACGUCAAAUCAUCAUGCCCCUUAUGUCUUGGGCUUCACGCAUGCUACAAUGGCCGGUACAAAGGGCUGCAAUACCGCGAGGUGGAGCGAAUCCCAAAAAGCCGGUCCCAGUUCGGAUUGAGGUCUGCAACUCGACCUCAUGAAGUCGGAGUCGCUAGUAAUCGCAGAUCAGCAACGCUGCGGUGAAUACGUUCCCGGGUCUU